UCAUCACUUUAUUCCAAGAUACUCAUGAACCUGAAAACAUACCUAAUAGGAUAGAAUAUAUAAUAUAUAGAUAGUAAAAUACUUAUAUACCAUGGAUGGAAAUGGGUGAAAUCCAUGGUAUGUCAAGAAGUCUUCUAAAAGUUUUCCCGAAGUAUUCUCACUGUCGCAAGAAGUCUGUGUGGGUUACUUUGCAAUUGAAAAAUAAUAGUGAAACAUCACAAUACUAAAAGGGGGAUUUCCUAAAAAUCUAACUAUGCCACGUCAUCAUAAAUAAUCAUCCAAUCACAACAUUUCAUUUUCGGGUCUGGGCUUAAAAUUUGUUCUGAAUGGACUUAGUGUGUGUGGGCUUCGUUUAAUUUGGGUUUGGGCUUCUUCGAUUAUCUAAACCUAGAUCUACGAAGAUGAAGUCGCGAGUCUCUUCGUCUUCUCCCCUUGAAACCGUAGCGUCUGAGUUUUGAUCAUCCCUUCUUCACAAUCAAUUCUCCACAAUCAAUUUCCUCUCCAUUUGUCUAUUAAAUCUCUUCUCUUAGCUUAUGUGUUGAUUAAAAUUGAAAAGCUUCUUUCAGACAAUCAUCCAGAUGGAACCCAAAGGAAACUCUUCAAUCUCCAGCGAUGGCAAGACCAACAAGAAGACCGCCGCCUCCUCCGCGACUGCGAGAACAGACUAAACGGGAAGUCCACCGCUUCCUCCGCCAUUGUGAUGAAACCCAACGGGAAGUCUACUGUUUCAUCUGCCAUUAUGAUGAAACCAAACUCUUCUACCGCUCUCUCCUCUGCGCAUGGCAAUCAAGUGAUGUUCUUCAGAGAUGUUUCACUCCUCCCACGAUUCGUCAUUGAAAGCUUCCUCAAUUACUUUCUUUCUAUGAAUCUUUAAUUAUAAAUACAUAAAUCACAUCCUGUGAAAUUCGUCAUUUCGAUCCAGAACUUUGGGAGAUGAUUUCAUUUUCGUUUGUUGAUGUUGUUUAUGUUUGUUGGUGUAUCGCAGGCCACAAUCGUGGAAGCUACCGUUACCGUACAAUGUUUCACCAUCACCGUCAAGCUGACUGUUUAGAAUCGUCAGCUGCAGCUUUGGUCAUUCAGGCGUUGAAAGAGCCGGAGAGAGACCGUAAAAAAGUUAAGAACUUUACUAUGAUGAGAUUAAUAUUCCAUUUGAUUAUUUCAUUGAGAUUGCUAGGAUGAGGCAUAAAUCUAUUGCAAAAGAGCUGAGUUAGCCAUAUUUUGGAAACAUGUGUCGGUGUUGGAUUCACCGUUGAUGGAUAGGAUCCAAAGUAUCCUAGACAGUAUAUUCAAGGUGAGUUCGAUAUUCAUGAUUACCAAACGCACACAGAAAAAUAUUUAAUGGGGAUUGAAAGAUGUUGUCUUCUCUUUUUCAUUUUUUUUUCAGGGUGAGCUGCUAUGUUUUUUCUCUUAGAAUGACUCACGUUUUGAUUAAUGUUGGUUUGCGUUCUUAUGUUUAACAAUCCCAAUCGUUUACCAAUCUCAAUAUUAUUUCUGAUUUUGUUGAGGUAAAAGAAACAGAAAGUUACAUAGAUUUCUUUCAUAUCAUUGUUUUCUAUUGCUCUCAUAUUUAACCCUUCUCCAGAAAGUUAUAAGAUCUUUGAUGCCCAUCAAAAUACUUUGGGUUACAUUUUUGCUUUUCUGCCUUUUUUUUUGUUUUCUAGGAACUGACCAAUUUGUCUUGAUUUGGUUUUUGUGUAGAGCUUUUGUAAACUGGGAAAACGCUGACGUUGUUCGAGAAAAAGAGUAGCAGGCUAAGGGUCUGACCUUCCACCCCGAAAGACCAAGGAAUCACGCCACUUUUCACAGAGGUGUCAUCCAGCUCUGGUAUUAUCAAUGGGUUCGUUCGUUCACUCCACAACUUAUCUUCCUCUAGAAGGAAAGUUUGGAGCACCCUAGGAUGAAAAGAGAAGCAACCACAUUCAUAAAGAAAUUGAUCGUUGUGCUUAAAGAUGUUUACAUAUAUUUGUUUCUUUUUGCUUCUUCAUUCUAUUUAAAAACAAACUUUGAAUUUCAGAGAA